rnacentral:rRNA from 1 species
CCUACGGGGGGCUGCAGUGGGGAAUAUUGGACAAUGGGGGCAACCCUGAUCCAGCCAUGCCGCGUGUGUGAAGAAGGCCCUCGGGUUGUAAAGCACUUUCAGUGAGGAAGAACGCCUGGUGGUUAAUACCCAUCAGGAAAGACAUCACUCACAGAAGAAGCACCGGCUAACUCCGUGCCAGCAGCCGCGGUAAUACGGAGGGUGCGAGCGUUAAUCGGAAUUACUGGGCGUAAAGCGCGCGUAGGUGGCUUGAUAAGCCGGUUGUGAAAGCCCCGGGCUCAACCUGGGAACGGCAUCCGGAACUGUCAAGCUAGAGUGCAGGAGAGGAAGGUAGAAUUCCCGGUGUAGCGGUGAAAUGCGUAGAGAUCGGGAGGAAUACCAGUGGCGAAGGCGGCCUUCUGGACUGACACUGACACUGAGGUGCGAAAGCGUGGGUAGCAAACAGGAUUAAUACCCCUGUAGUC